GCGCACGGGGUGAGUACACGUGAAUUAUCUACCUCCGAGUGGGGAAUAACCUAGAGAAAUCUGGGCUAAUACCGCAUAACACUUACGAGUCAAAGCAGCAAUGCGCUUGGAGAGGAGUUCGCGGCCGAUUAGCUAGUUGGCGGGGUAACGGCCCACCAAGGCGAUGAUCGGUAUCCGGCCUGAGAGGGCGCACGGACACACUGGAACUGAAACACGGUCCAGACUCCUACGGGAGGCAGCAGUGGGGAAUUUUGCGCAAUGGGGGAAACCCUGACGCAGCAACGCCGCGUGGAGGAUGAAAUAUCUUGGUAUGUAAACUCCUUUCGAUGGGGAAGAUAAUGACGGUACCCAUAGAAGAAGCCCCGGCUAACUUCGUGCCAGCAGCCGCGGUAAUACGAAGGGGGCUAGCGUUGUUCGGAAUUACUGGGCGUAAAGCGCGUGUAGGCGGGCUUUUAAGUCAGGGGUGAAAUGCCAAGGCUCAACCUUGGAACUGCCUUUGAUACUGGAAGUCUUGAGUCCGGGAGAGGUGAGUGGAACUGCGAGUGUCAGAGGUG
rnacentral:rRNA from 1 species